UCAUUUUCUCUUGCCGCCACCGUGUAAGAGUGCCUUUUGUCUCCCUCCGUGAUUCUGAGGCCUCCCCAGCCAUGUGGAACUCCUCUUCUGCCCUGCCCGGCCACUCCUUUGAGUGACGGGGGUAAUUGAGAAGCUGCUCCUCCCUCCAGGAAGGAAGACCCGGAGCUCUGGCUUCCCUCGGCAAAGCACAUAUAAACCCACAGUCACUGUGGGUGGAAGGAGAAGGGCAGGGUGGAAAAAGUUUGAGAGAAGGAGGGAGGAAAAGGUGUCCUGACUAGCACCGUGUGGAUUCUCUUGAGAUGAGAAGAAAAUGCCUGGCUACGUCCCCCUUCUGCUGCUCCUGCUUCUCCUGAGGUGUUCAGAAUGGGGUGGGGGAGUUAAUUUUGGUGAGAAGGAUGCAAAAGUCCCCAGGACCUGGAGAGAUGGAGUCAGGGUCCCUGGAGAAGGAACCUCUUGGGACUCAGACAGGGCCAGUCCUGAGCGAAGGUACGGAAUAGUAGGACUAAGCCAAAGCAUUUCCACUAAGCACCCAGAGACCAGCCCUAAAGACUCAAGAAUAAGAGAAAAUGAUGUAACUGCAGGUGGAAGGACCACUGAGGAUCACAUCACAGGAGACCCAGGGACCACCGAGGACUCUGUCACUGCAGACCCAGGGACCACUGAGGACAACGUGACUGCGGACCCAGGGACCACCGAGGGCUCUGUCACUGCAGACCCAGGGACCACCAAGGACUAUGUGACUGCACACCCAGGGACCACCAAGGAUUCCGUCACUGCAGACCCAGGGACCACCAAGGACUUCAUCACUGCAGACCCAGGGACCACCAAACACUCCAUCACUGCAGACACAGGGACCACUGAGAACUUUGUCACUGCAGACCCAGGGACCACCAAGGACUAUGUCACUGUAGACCCAGGGAUCACUGAGGACUCCAUCACUGCAGACCCAGGGACCACCUAGGACUCUGUCACUGCAGACCCAAGGACCACUGAGGACUCCAUCACUGCAGACCCAGGGACCACCUAGGACUCCGUCACUGCAGACCCAAGGACCACUGAGGACUCCAUCACUGCAGACCCAGGGACCACCAAACACUCCAUCACUGCAGACCUGGGGACCACCGAGGACUCUGUCACUGCAGACCCAGGGACCACAGAAGAUGAAACCACUAAACAUGGUGACACUCACCUUCUGUGAACUACUUCAGUCACAGCAGUGAAACCCACGAGGCUCCUGACACCAUGAGAAUUAUCCUCAUAUCCCUGGCUGCAACCAUAGUCACUGUUGUGCUCUUUGUUGGAUUGGGCUUCAUUGUGAAAGAGUGUUUCCUGCCUCCAUUAAAUCCAUCCACCAGGGUUAUUUAUCAUCACCAUGUCAUGGACUAGAGUACACCAUAAAGAGGACCCCAGCAGUGACUACAGUUGGUUCUAGAAAAAGCAGACCCCUCGUCCGCCUCUGCAGGACUAUGCAGCUUGAUGUGUAUCCUCAGGCCUCCACUCCUCUGCCCCAGUCUGGAGCCCUGGGACCACCACAUGAGGAAGGCAGCUGGCCCCUGGAAUAAGCAUUUGGAGGACACUCAGAAGGAUGCCCAUCUGCUCUUAGUGUCUCCUAAUUCUGCCUGGCCUUGGUUACUUCCUCUGGACAAUCGCCUUUACCUAUCUACUAGGUUUUGAGGAAUUACACACAGCUCAGGUAUAAGAGAUAUUCAGUAAGUCUGAUCAAAUCAAUAAAGCAAAUUUCAUCUGUUUUUGUCUGGGACAUAUCUCUACAUUCAUUCAUUUAACAAAAAAAAAAA
rnacentral:lncRNA from 1 species